UGUGUCAAAAAUCUGUUUUUAAUACAAAAUCUAUAAAAAUUUGCACAAAACAAAAUACUGUACAUUACACAUUUCUUAUCUUACAAAUUAUUUACAUUUGGUUCACAUAAGUAAGCAAAAACACCCUCUUUUUACAACUUGUUCUAAAAAGUCCUGACCAAAAGCUGAAAAAAAAAAAAAUCAAACAGCUUCAAUUUCAAGCUUUCAGUCAUCAGCUGGAAAUAAACGCCACCACCGAGUGUUCAAAACAUAAAACAUGUAUGCUAUAUUUAGAUUUUUCAACCUCCAACCAGUGUUUCUUUUAAGUCCAACACCGUUUCUGGACUCAUAUAAACGAGGACAGAAGGUCUCACUGGUCUCAGUGUAUGUCUGGAAAAGAUAAAGUCCCACACCCAUUAGCCUGUGAGAAAGAUACGCUUCAGGACAUCCGAAGACUUCAAUUGUCAAAUUUGCCCAUACGAGACGAUGAAAACAUUGGUUAGGAUCUUAUUUUGAACACUUCACAUCUCCUUUCAACAGAAAUACAUUCACUACUUGGACACAUUGAUUGUUGUAUCACAAGAACGUCUACAGUCUCAUUACAUCCAGGGGAUAUGCUCAAAAGUGAUAACCCCCAACCGUCCUUUGCUGGCCACGGCAACCAUUAACAACAAAUGCAAACAGAUGCUCCAGGAUCAACUCACAUUUUCUUCAUUUCUUUUUAACAACUGUUGGAUAAUCCAAGAAACAUAUAAGUAAGAUGGGGUCAGUUUAGCUUUAAAGUAGAAUUAAACAAACAAGAAAAACCAACGUAAGAGCAGUGAUGAGGAAAUAAAGUAUCUGGUAAUGCUGUUCAGGUUCUGACCUCAGAAUGAGAGACUUUGGGAGAAAGGAACACAUGGUUUUGAUGCACAACCUGAGAAGCAGAGGAUCUUUCUUAGGGUUUAGAGAACUAGUACAUUAUUUUUUUAUACCCUUAUGGGAGGCUGCAGUA